UUUUUGGAGAGUUUGAUCCUGGCUCAGGACGAACGCUGGCGGCGUGCCUAAUACAUGCAAGUCGAGCGAAUCUUCAUUAGCUUUCGUUUGAAGUGCAGCGGCGUACGGGUG
rnacentral:rRNA from 1 species